rnacentral:rRNA from 1 species
AUUGAACGCUGGCGGCAUGCUUUACACAUGCAAGUCGAACGGUAACAGGCCGCAAGGUGCUGACGAGUGGCGAACGGGUGAGUAAUGCAUCGGAACGUGCCCAGUCGUGGGGGAUAACGCAGCGAAAGCUGCGCUAAUACCGCAUACGAACUAUGGAUGAAAGCGGGGGACCGUAAGGCCUCGCGCGAUUGGAGCGGCCGAUGUCAGAUUAGGUAGUUGGUGAGGUAAAGGCUCACCAAGCCAACGAUCUGUAGCUGGUCUGAGAGGACUACCAGCCACACUGGGACUGAGAUACGGCCCAGAAUCCUACGGGAGGCAGCAGUGGGGAAUUUUGGACAAUGGGCGCAAGCCUGAUCCAGCAAUGCCGCGUGCAGGAAGAAGGCCUUCGGGUUGUAAACUGCUUUUGUACGGAACGAAACGGCUCUCACUAAUACUGGGGGCUAAUGACGGUACCGUAAGAAUAAGCACCGGCUAACUACGUGCCAGCCGCCGCGGUAACAC